GCCUUUGUGGCGUAACGGUAGCACACUCGGCUCAUAUUCGAGAGGUCCAAGUUGAAAUCCCGACGAGGGCA
rnacentral:tRNA from 1 species